GCUUUUAGAGGCUGCAGAUACUAUUUCCAUCUUCAAAGCCAGCAUUGGCUAGUCAUGUCCUGAUUCUUCUGCCUCUCUCUUUCCCUUUGAAGGACCCUUGUGUUUACAUUGUGACUACCUGGAUAAUACAGUACUCCAAGUACCUUAUCCAGAAAAAAAUCCUGAGAACUGUGCAAUAAGCACAUGACAACAUAAUAGAAAGCCAAAUGUAUUAGGGUUGGACCUAGAAGAAGCUGGACCAUAAGAGAAGCUAAAUGAGAAGCAGAAGCUGGCGUCAGAAUCUCUUCUUCCUUUCAAUCUUGAGAAAAUAUCUUUGAACUAAGUGUCUCUUCUCUUCCUCUUUUCCUUAUAUAGUUCCCUAAGGAGGCCACUCUGGAGACCUUCUAGACAUGUAAAAAGAGGAUAAUAAUAGUUCCUACCUUAUAAGGUUGUGUGAAGGUUAAAUGAGUUAAUGUGAGUAAAGCACUUACAACAGAUCUUGGCACACAGUAACUGUCAUGUAAGUAUCAGCUAUUAUCAUAAUUGCAGUGCCAUGCAGAUGAACCCUCUAGUUCAUCCUUAUAGUUAUAUGGACUUUAGGCAGAGAGGUGGCCGUGGAGAUGGGAGAAGCAAAGAGAAUUAGCCUUGAACAGGAGACUUGAGACUAUAAGUGGGGAACUUAAGUAUUGAGGUUUAUUAACUUGACAGGAAGUAGCUAAUUUAAAACAGUAUUAUUGAAAUUUCUUUGAGCUAUGCUUCAUGAAAAAGAAAUGUUGAGCAGACUGACAGUGAAAUAUUAAAAUUAUGCAUUUGGCUGAAAGGAAAAAAAAAAUGAUGGGACAUACUACCUCAUUAAGUAAAUGCAGCAAUUAAUUCUUUACUCAGUAAACUAGAUAAACAUUAAAAAUCCCUAUUUAUAUUUCAGACAGUGUCUAAAUGAUUUAGCUGAUAUUUCAAAGGGACACUGAAGCUCAAUAGGAAGUAAGAUGCCAAAUCAUUAGCGCAGGAGCAGUCAAUACCUCUGUCAGCAAUUGCGUUCUUGUUCAUUUUGGGCAUUGAGUUGCUAUUGUGUUCUGUGUUCUUAGGCUAACAAAAGGCGCAGAGUAUGCAUACCCAACACAGGUAGUGCCUGGUAAGGAGUGCUCAGUAAGCAUGCAUUAGAUAUAGAACGUUCACCUCCCUGACUGCAUUCGCCCAUUCCACAAAAGUCCCACCGUGUUUUAGGAGUCCUAUGUUCUCCAAAUUUUAUAAAAUUAGUACAUUGUUUACAAUCAGAAAAUAAGUCCCCUGGAACUUGGACGAGUGAGCACUGUAAUCAGCGUUCACCUGCGUUGGUUUUUCCUUCUACAUGUUUGUGUGCCUGGGUUCUUAUGAGCUCCUGCUGGCCUCCCUGUCUGCCAGUUCCAGGAGGCUUGCUGACCAGCUUAGCCUAUCAUGCUCUCUCAGAUCCUGCUGGCCGUGUCUCCUCUCUCCCAAGAGCUACGUGUAAAACAUGGUAUGUUCUGCACGCUUUAAUUUAGCCACAUUGAUUCCAUUGAUGUUUUGUCAGAUACCCUGAAGCCUGAGGCCUCAUCAGCCACACAGGACAGAUCAGAGAUGGGCCCUUUGACUUUUUGACCCUGAUUAUUCUUUCUUUUUAUUCUGGUUUUCUCUUGGCUUUACAGAAUGAUAUGGAAAAGGAGAUCUGGGGAAGGGGAAAGGAAGGGAACAAGAAGGAGGGAGUAGGAGGUCAGAGCUCACACAUACACAAGAACAAAAGGACUGCAAAUUGGGAUCUCUCCACAGCCACCUUCCCUUCUUCCCUUUGAAAAGUCGAUGCUGAACCAUCUGUCAUCUCUCAGGGACUCCAGCUCUAGGCUGGCUUGUACCAAGUGAGAGCUGCCUAGCCAGUCACUCAUCAGUCUCUCCUAGGGCUGCCUCUGUGCGUUCAUCCUGCCUUCCCCAGUUGGGACAUUCCACUGCCUUUGGGGCCUUCACUUCCCAAUUAUUUAUUAAGGAGACAGAAAAGAAUUGUUGAUAAAGGCCGUGGCUGGACAGCAGGAAGUAACCAUGGGCUGCUGCAGGGGUGGGCUCCUGCUUAGCAAAUGUUAGACCAGGUUUGUCUUGCUGCUGUUUUUAUUUUGUUUAGAUGCUUUUGACUGUUGUUAUUUCACACAUCCAAACAUGCUAUGUGCCCUAAUUGCAUUUCCUAGCACCUUUGACAAUUCUAAGAAUCUAUUAGUUUUUUACAUUCAAGCCUUGGUAUUAGAGGUUCCUACAAUAUUUGAGUCUGGUUUGUAUGCGAAGGUGGGUUGGGGUUGGGGAGUCUGUGAAUAAUAUAUGCAAUUUACAACUAUCUGUGAAACUGAAAAUAAAAUACAUUGUAUGUGCAUGUCUCUGUGUGUGGGGGGGCGGUGUGGGUGUGUGUAUGAGAGAGAGAGAGAGAGAGUAUGUCGGGGAAAAAGAGAGACUCGAUGUUUACAUUCUCUAUUUGGAAUUUAGAGUUUUAAGGGAAAGUUGGUCUCUUUAUCUAACCUGUCAACAUUAUAGAUGAUGCUGUAUAUUUAUAAAGAUAUUUGCAUAUCUUUUAUCAGAUGGAUGCUCUUAGUUGAUUUAGUAUUCCAGCUUUUAUUUGGAAGAUAAAUUAAUAUGGAAAAUGAACAUGAAAAGCUCAGGGAAUUUGACUCACUGCCAGUGCCAGGGGUCCUCUUGCACUGGCAUGUGUGACCUUCUGGAGUUAAUGCUGGAUGUAGUCAAAUUAGUGAAAUAGGCGCCUUCUCCAUUCUUUUUCUCUUUUGUACCACCCACCUUCAGGCUUAUCCUGUAUCCAAAUCCUCAAAGGUUUGUUCUGGUCUCUACUGUCUGCCAAUCAUCAUUUAAGAUGAAACCUUCCUUCUCUUAUGUUUUGAACAGACAUUCUUGAAGACCUAAAGUAUACAAAAUUAAAAAGAGUAGUGUCUUUAAGAAUUUCCACAAAAAAAAGCAAAACUGGUUGACAAAGUGCUUUUCAAAAAUCGAUACAUAUUAAUUCUACAUAUUUUGGGGGUACAUGUGAUAUUUUGAUACAUGUAUACCAUGCUUAAUGAUCAGAUCAGGGUAAUUGGGAUGGCUAUCAUUUCAAACACAUGUCUUUUCUUUAUGUUGAGAACAUUCCAAUUUUUCUCUUCUAGGUCUUUUGAGCUGUGCUUUGCAUUAUUAUUAAUUAUAGUCAC